GGACCAUAGCUCAAUGGUAGAGCACCUGCCUUGAAGGCAGAAAGCCCAGGUUCAACCCCCCAGCAUCUCCA